GCUUUUUGUACUGUUAUCGGUUUA
rnacentral:snRNA from 1 species